AAAUAGAUACCCCGGGUAGUCCACGCCGUAAACGAUGAGUGCUAAGUGUUAGGGGGUUUCCGCCCCUUAGUGCUGCAGCUAACGCAUUAAGCACUCCGCCUGGGGAGUACGGUCGCAAGACUGAAACUCAAAGGAAUUGACGGGGGCCCGCACAAGCGGUGGAGCAUGUGGUUUAAUUCGAAGCAACGCGAAGAACCUUACCAGGUCUUGACAUCCCGCUGACCGGCCUAGAGAUAGGCUUUUCCCUUCGGGGACAGCGGUGACAGGUGGUGCAUGGUUGUCGUCAGCUCGUGUCGUGAGAUGUUGGGUUAAGUCCCGCAACGAGCGCAACCCUUGAUCUUAGUUGCCAGCAUUCAGUUGGGCACUCUAAGGUGACUGCCGGUGAUAAACCGGAGGAAGGUGGGGAUGACGUCAAAGUCAUCAUGCCCCUUAUGACCUGGGCUACACACGUGCUACAAUGGACGGUACAGAGGGUCGCAACCCCGCGAGGGUGAGCUAAUCCCAUAAAACCGUUCUCAGUUCGGAUUGUAGGCUGCAACUCGCCUA
rnacentral:rRNA from 1 species